GCGGGAGUGGCGAAAUUGGUAGACGCACCAGAUUUAGGUUCUGGCGCCCUAGGUGUAAGAGUUCGAGUCUCUUCUCCCGCACCA
rnacentral:tRNA from 1 species